AGUCCAUUGUGCGAGCAACACCGGAGCAAAUAUUUGUACCUCUCCCAAGCAUCGUACAUGCUCUCGUCAUCAAACUGCACAUAAGAAGAUAUAUCAUUUCUGAAUUU